rnacentral:rRNA from 1 species
GCCUACGGGGCGUAGCAGUGAGGAAUAUUGGUCAAUGGGCGGGAGCCUGAACCAGCCAAGUCGCGUGAGGGAAGACGGUCCUAUGGAUUGUAAACCUCUUUAGGCGGGGAGCAAUGCCGGGCACGCGUGCCCGGAGGGAGAGUACCCGCAGAAUAAGCAUCGGCUAACUCCGUGCCAGCAGCCGCGGUAAUACGGAGGAUGCGAGCGUUAUCCGGAUUUAUUGGGUUUAAAGGGUGCGUAGGCGGAUUUUUAAGUCAGCGGUAAAAUGUCCGGGCUCAACCCGGGCAGGCCGUUGAAACUGGGGG